GCACGUCCGCCAUCGUCAAGCGCCAUGGGUUAGUACCACAAGACACAAGGCAUGUCACAAAACAGGCUAGCUAGCGUACUAGCGUGCUAGGAGAGACGGAAUUAUCGUUCCCGGCUAAAACACUAGAGACGCGCUAGCACGUACAUACGUAUGUGUAUAUCUAUGCAGAAUGGACUGUUGUUGCGAGAGGACGAGGGCAAAGCGACAAAUCAGACACGUUGGUGAAUCACUCGAGGUCGUCGUAUCGACGAUUUCGGAUCGCUCUUCCGCUCGUCGGUGUUUCAAUCGUGAAUCAUUUUUCCGAUAAAACUCUUACGAAUACGACUACAGCGUAAGUACGAUAAUGAUAAUGGUAGUUUAUUCGAUCGUUCGAUAAGUUUUGUAUCGAUUUUUAAAUGGUUCGUAACAUUACCUUUUUGAAAUACGUGUAUUUUUAAUACGAUAUACACGUACAGUUUCGUUCAAUGAUCUUUUUCAACUGUUCCGUUUGUUUUAGGACUCCAUUUUCCUACAAUUGUUUUAUAUCCGAACAAUUCAUCCAUCUUCGAGGUUUAAAUCAACUUUGUACCUGGCAGACCCAUUCUCGCGGCUCUAUUAUGAACAGCAUGUUCUUGGCGAAUGGAAAUCGAGAAAAUAGAAAUACGAGAAAUCGAGGUUUCCAUCUAUACAUAAUACCGAUGACGCGUAGUAAUUGACGCUGCGAAUUAGAUAUUGUGCUACAAAAAUCAGCACCAGCUUAUCGAACGAUCCGAUACUGUAUGAUAAUCGAAUAACGAGAAUCGUGUCUAUUUAACCCUUCAACUUUCUUCCAACGUUAAAUCGACUAAAUAACACCGUUCGUAUCAAUUGGAAACGUAAUUCCUGUGGAAGGAGAGACACAUCUCUCUCGGUAUCCUAAUUCCUUGGAGAAGUUCCGGCGGAGCUAAAGGGUUCAAUAGAGUUCUAGAAAUUCCAGGGCGAAACACAGUGAAUUAAGUGGCGUUUAGAGUUCCUGCGCGAAUCAUCGGGAAUCCUGGAAUUGGCAGGCAUUCGUUAUCAAGGUUUGACUGAAGGGGAAGGGGGAGAGAACACGAUGCUAAUAUGCAAUCAAUACAUGCGGCGUUAGUUGCACCCUGGGACGGUUAAGGAUACCUUGCGCAACAAUCCUACCACCGUUGUCACGUCGCCGCCGACAUGUUCACUAUUUACAGCAGACUAGGAAUGAGACGAGCACCUCUCUACCCUAUAGCUGUUCGAUUCUCGUCUAACCAAAGCAAAUUCGACUCGUCGUCCGUGAGAGAAGGAAGGUGUCGAGUAGAUCGAUGCUUAGCACGCGAAUGAAAUUGUCUUUUUGAAUCGAAAUGAAGGAUACCGCUAUCACUCAUUGUGUGCAUGCUUGUUUGUAAAUCACGUGAUAUUUGCUAAUUUCGCGCGUAAAGUAUUUUACGCAAAAAUGGAAACCGCAGGGAAAACAACAAUUUUAAAGUUUAAGGAAACCAAGAAGUUUACAAAAGAUGGACUUUAACAAUGUGGUUUAAGAGGGUCGUUUGACAAGGAUAUUUCUAUUCGGUAAAUGGUAACGAACGUAUUAAGGAAAGAAAGGAAAUAAUGGAACGAGCGGGAUGGUGGAUGAAAAAGGGAACGUAUGCAAGUUACGCGUGGUUUUUGAAUACAGUCGUAUCCGGUGCAUGCGGUUAACGAUGAAGCAACCCCAAAUCGAACCGCGCAAACGUCAAACGAUCGCAAUCCAAUAACAAUUAUGAAUGGGAACGAUCGUGGUUCCUUUUUUCGCUUCGUCGUUUCACAUCGUCGAGGCCUUCGUUCCGUUCGUCAUGAAAAAAGAAAAAAGAAAGGAGAAAGCACACGCAACGGAUAGAGAGAUACUGGGAUCACGACGGGUGCAACGAACCAAAAAUCUAAAAGAAAAGAAAAAGAAAGAAAGAAAAAAUUGCGAGAAUAUUACGUGACCAAGAAAACAAGGAUCUCUGGUUUUUCAGGCAACAAACGUUUAUUUCAGACACAGAAAUUCGAGGUUACAGAAUCUUUCGUACUCCAUUUCUAUGGUUUUAUUUACAAAAAAAAAAAAAAAACAAUGUGUAAUCAUCGGUUCAUACAACUGGUUUCGCACUUUUUCCAGUUUCAAAUUCUUUCUUAAAUUCGGUCAGCCAUUCUCAAACUCUUGAUCGCACUCUGGUCCGUUGGAGGCAACUUUAGCUCGUUCGAUAGAGAAAUUUCUGUAUCAAAACGACGGCGAUUCGCGCGGUACAAAAAAGACAAUCACAACUACGGUGUUUCGUCGACAAACGUAGCUGUUGAAAAACACGAGGCGCGAAACGUCAUCGCGCGUUGUUUUAUCUAACAAGACGGUAAUAAGAUAUAUCACAGAGAAUCGUGAAUCGUUCGGUAUAAUGUCUCUAAAUAGAGCAAUUAGUCGAGAAAGUACACGAGUAUAGAGUAUAGUCGUUCGAAGGGAUUAGUCGUAUAGAGUAUAAGAAACAAUAAUUAGAAUACGAAACGCGUAUGGCAUAUAGCAAAAGUUUAAAAGAGAACGUAACUUCGAGAAGAAUAUUAAUCUGACUGAUUCACGGGAAUCCCGAUAUAAACAGGAUCACGCGACUCUUCGUCUUCAUCGAUCGUCUAAGUCCUCGUUCGUGUCCAGGCACGGACAAACGAGCACUAUCCAAAUUGAGAAAAAAGGGGGCAGACGGGUAUAAAGAAACGGCAAUUUCACGACGACCGUACGUCGACCCGGCGAAACGAGGAACGAAGAAAAAAACCCGUGAGGGAAAGGUGAGAGUUAACCACCGUUAUCCAGCGUUACAGGAUUAUAUUCCCCGAUCGGACGUACUCUCGCAAAGAAAA